rnacentral:rRNA from 1 species
CUGCGGAGGGACAUUUA